rnacentral:lncRNA from 1 species
UCCAUAUGAAAACUUGUUGUUAUCUAUUCCUAAGCAAUAUCUCAUAACUCCUAAGAAGUAGCUCAAGAAUCCGAUCUUCAAACUAUGCGAUAGAAAUCCAUCUACGCCAUCAGAUUCAGCAUAUUCUUUCUUUAAGUUUCUUCACUUUUCUUUGAUUCUUAAAACAUCACCAUGUGACCCAGUCACAUCAUGUAUCAAGAAUCUCAGAAUAGAAACUUAACAGAGUUAGAUAGUGGACUUUACCUGAAGUAGAGUCAAACUUAUUGACUUUAACAUCCUUAGGUAAAUUUGGCAGCUUCGCAACCAAUGCCCCUUCCUUUGGCAAUAUAAACAUAUGGACCCUUUGAUAAUGGUACACGGGACUAUCACAGACUUAGCUUUUCUCUUUACCAUUUGGUCAACCGAGUUGACUAUGGCCGAUCCCUUUCCAUUGGGAAGAGAAUGCUUUACUGGAUAUCCAAUGUCAUCAUUGUCAAUGUCCAUAAAGUUUUAGGAAGUUGAUCUUAGCAAAUAGAUAAGAUCAUUAAGGGUCUUGUCAUAGUCUGUUUCAUAGGUGUCCCAAAGGAACUCACUAUGUGACUUAGAAAGUGGUUGAACCACCAACUUUCUCAAGACUUUGACACCCAACUCUCCCGGCUUGUCAAUAUGUGACUACAUCUCCAAGAUGUGACCACACCUAGACCUUGCCUUGCCAAUAGGGCCUGAGUGACCUUAAACUUUUCAAGAACUUGUGGGUUAGGGAGAAUAAUUUGAAGAGGUGAAGAAGUAUGAUAUCCAUGGGACAUCAUCUUCAUUAGGAAACCUUGUUUCAAGAGAUUUGGGAAGAUCAUAGGUGUCUAAACCAGACAUCUUUUGGGAGAUAUUCAAGAUAGUUGAUUUAAAGUCCUUAAUAUGACACCCAAUAUGAAAUAUUAAGGCUAGGACCCAACAAACUAUUUUAUAACUUAGAAGAGGUAUGCCGUAAUCCAAGCUAUAAAAUAUUUGAAGGUAGGUGAAUGACGAUUCACCAAUUUCCACCAAGAUAAACGAAAUGUAUUAUUAGGUUUUAAUUGGUUUUGAAACUCCUAGAUCUUUGAGAUUCAUUGAACUUUUCAAAGGCAUGUUUCAAUCUCGAGUGUGCCCUUCAGGUUUUGUGACUGGGAUGCCGAGGAUCACAAAACAAGGUGUGAAGUAACCAUGCAAAUCACUUGGUACCCUUAAUAAAUUACCCCUCAAUCGAUGUGCCGGUUAACCACACACGCUCCAUCGAUACUAUGAUAAAUAUUAAGUCACCCUUUACCUACCUUGUUAAGUCCAAGUUAGUGUGCCGGUUAACCACACACGCUCCACUAACGACUUAGACAAAGUGUAAAGUGUAAUUUCAUGGAUUAGCACCUUAUUCACAUUUUUCCUAAGUAACUAAGAUUGGGUAUUAUUAAGAGUUUAGUUACUUAGUAUUAUCAUUAAUACUUUUAAUGAAGGGAGAAUUCUAGUCCUGUCAAACCCGUUCGGCUAACGACCCUCCACCAGUCAAGCAAGCGGUGGGUGAGAGUGGACACCCAUUAAGUUGCCAUUUUAUAGGCAACAACCUUAUACCCACCUUAUAGACCGGCUUCGUGAAUGAGGCGUACUAGCGGUAAGACUGACUUUACUCUUAUACAUAUAUAUAUUAUUAACUUAUAAUAUUAUAAAGUAUAAGGGUUGAAUUUUAACUUUUAAAAUUCUAAGGGCUAACUUGGAAUUAAAGUAUUCAUACUUGAAAACUUUUCAAAUUCCAAAACUUGAGGGCAAGUUUUGAAACUAUUCAAAACUAAUUAAUUCCAUAACUUAUGUGUUUAAAGUAGUUUUAAUCCAAAAACUCUUCAAGUUCCAUAACUUGAGGACAAGUUAUGGAAGACUUUAAACUAAUAAAAGAACUAACUUUUUCUUUAUUUUAUAACUUAUGGAUUUAAUUAUGGUUACAUAUUUUUCUUUAAUGAAGUGACUCUUGAACUUCCAUAACUUGAGGACAAGUUAUGGAGUCAAAAAAAAUUAUUCAAUGACACAAGACUCUUCAUUUUGUAACCAUUGCCAACUUUUAUGAAUUUUAUGAGUCUUUAAUGUGACUCUUCAUGUAACUUGAGGACAAGUUACACAAACACAUUUUAUACUCAACUCUUAGAUUAAAAUGGAUUGAAAACAACUAUUUCACUCAACAUUUCUAUUAAUCUAAGCAACUCAUAAGAACAAGAUAAUUCAAAUCAAACUUUUUCAUGUAAUUAGUCUAAACCUUAAACUAAUACAAAACAUGAAUCUAUUGACAAUUAUCUUUGAAAAUGGAUUAGCAUGAACAUUACCACAUCAAAAACAAGUUUAUAAGUUCAAAAACAACUUAGGGUAAUGUUCCUAGUCCAUUUCUAGCCAAAAAACUCGAAAAUAUGCUGUCUGGGGGUCCAACUCGUCGAGUGCAUGAACAAACUCGGCGAGUUGGAUCGAAUUCAUCACUUUUUAGGCAUGGACUCGUCGAGUCUCCUGAUGGACUCGCCGAGUCUGAUGGCCAGACAGCACCAGAUUCGUUUUUUCAGCUUCUAUUGCAGGUAUAACAAGAAAACAAGCCUAGGCUCUGAUACCACUGUUGGGUUUUGAGCAUUCUAACACUCCUAAGUGUACAUGCAACCCUAAAUACCUUGGAUCUAUGUUUUCUCUAUUAUACAUGCAAAUAAGAACUUCCAAGGUAUUAUCCUAAUCUAGCAUACAAAACAAUGACUAUAGCAAGAUAGAAUACAUACCUCUUUGAUGUAGAAAGUCUUCAUGAAGCUUGAGUGCCUAGUGCCCCAAGUGUGACACCUCAAAUGGAAUCACAAUCAUCAAAACACUUGGAAUGACUUGAGAGAAUUCUACACUCUUCAAAAUCGGCUAGCCCUUUCUUCACUAUCACUAGUGGCCGAUUUUUCCUCAAUAAUAAGAUGCUUAUAUAGUUACACAAUUAGGGUAAACUCUUAAUUGUCAUGGCUUUCCAUUUCCUUGGAUCCAUGGGUACAAAUACACCAUGGAGCAUCCAUGGACCAUCCUAUGGGUUUUAGCCCAACUUGAUUAUCCAUGGAGCAUUAGCCCACUAUACAAGUAUGGAUGAUUUACACAAUCAACCCAUAUAUUUAAUUAGUCUUCUUUUGAUCACUUAAUUAAUCCUAGAUUAAUUCUUGAUCAAUACUAAUUAAAUAAUCUUAUUAUUCUUAUUAUUAAUAUACUAGAACUUAUAAUAUAUUAAUAACCAUAAGUGUCUUAUUUCUCUCAUUAUAGUCUAUCCAAGUGCAUGAUGGUAUGCAACCCAAAUGGACCAUGCCGGGUCGGGUCAAGUCUUACCAAUUAUAGUUAUGGACUUAGACAUUAAUCCAACAGUCUCCCACUUGGAUAAGUCUAAAACUAUUAUUGCGUAUGACUUCAGGAACCAACUGGCAAUCGUAGCUCUCAAAAGCUUCUGUCGAACUCUGACCUUGUAGAUGAACUCUGACCUUUGUCAAUGACUUGUCCAUUAGAUAAGGGAUCAUAUAUUCCUCCAUUCUAGAUAUCAUAUGGACUGAGACAUGGAUUAUAAUCAUUCUCUCUGUCCAUUUGUUGUUUCCCGAUUUCCGAUUUAUGACGACUGACUAAUUGAACAAAUCAAAUCAGUCCUGGCCCGGCCGAGCACUUCCAUUUGUCAUCAUCAAAUCAUCGAGGGGCCCACAGAUAUCGCUUUUAUCCCGAAGGUAAAAGGAAUGGAUAAACUUCGACUCAUAUGGCUUGUUCUACUACUUGUUGAAUCAUACACAAAGGCACGUUUUAUAGCACCGAGUUACCAAAUGCGUUUUCGUGCAAUCAAUGUACUAUCAACUCAUAGUAACAACUCAUAUCUCUAGGUUUGAAGAAUAUAAGAUAUUAUCGUCUCAUGAUCACUCGUGAUAAAAUCCAUGAAGUGAUUCCAAUGAGCGCGGGUUGAAUCCAAUACUCAGAACUUAUGAGCACUCAUGAGUGUUGUAGCCCUUUGUCCAACACCUUAGACCUCUACAAGCCAACCCAUGACAGUCUUAAUUCAUAUCUACUUCCAACAUAUGACCGACUGUGGAUGGUUUGAAUAACUUAGUCAUUCCGGAAGAAUAACCCAGUUUAUUCGGGAAGUCAAAACAUGCAAAAUGAAACACAAUAAUAAUUGAAUCCAAUAUGGUAUCAACCCUUUGAACAUAAAUAAAACACCUUUUAUUUAUCACCAUAUGAUUACACAUUAUUCAUUGUAUACUGUUUCAGCUAUCAACUUUAUUCUUGAAUUUAAAACAAUAGUUGUCCCAUGCUCCAAGCAUGUACACUAUGUUUUCUUAAACACUAGUCAUGCCACACACCAAGUAUGCAUACUAUGUUUGUCUAUGAUCUUUACUUUGUGAACUAGAUCAAUUGAACAUAACUUCAAUGAUUCUCUUUUCACACUCCCAAAUCCUUACUGCAAAUGCAAGAAUUCCAAAUUCAUGCCAUUUACUGAAAUCUGUUAGAUUCUAAACUUAUAUGCAUUGAUCCUCUUGUAAUGAUUAUGCACAAAGUCACAAAGACUUGGCAACAAUCAUUACAGAGUAUUCCAAAGGAGAUCAACUCCUUGGAAAUAUCCUUCUUGCAUUAAGUUUCCUUAAUCUUACACAGAUUGAAAAUUCUAACUUUGAAACAUUUCCAGAUUCCAUUUUGACUAUCACUUCUGAACAAGAGUUGCCUCCUUACAGAUUAUGUCAAUAUGGUCCUUCCAGAAUUAUCACUAUACUUCCAAUUGUCCUUGAGCAACCAAUCUUUGGUAAACCUUAGAUUGUCCUCGACAAUUGUUUAAUCCUUUUAGUCAUAUCCAGUUCUAAACCUUUUCCCUUCUUAAUGCCCCAGGCAUUUGGAAAAUUUUAGAACGGAUGAAUAUAGCACAUGUAAUCGAUCCUAUAUCCGAAGCAUAUGGGACACGAUUCAUGAUGUCUCACAUAAAGACUAAACCAGUCUUUUGCUAUAAUAUUUCCAUUUCAAUUUGCCAAGUUCUCAUAAUUCAGAUUAUGAAAAGGGAUGCCGUAAUCAUAAUCGAAUUUUAGAACGCAAAUAAUGGACCCAUAUACAGAAUUUCCUUAUGUUGAGCCAUUCCAACAUGAAAUUCAUAUAUAUCCUUGACUAAAUGAUUAAAACCUCACGAUCUAAGCUUAUAGAUUUGAGAUGAAGCAUAAUUUCCUCUCCCUUAAUUAUAGCAAAACAACUUUUUCCCAAUUGAAACUUUUGUUUUCUAUAAUUAACAUUGCUAACUUGCAAUACUUAUCAUAAUUAUCAUGCUCCCACUAACAUGAUGAUUAUUAGCAUAACACUUAUGCUCCCACUAGCUUUGACAUGUACUCAGAAAUCAGCUGGACUUCUAGAAAUCAAUACUUCAUUGACUUUCUUACCAAAGUUCAGAUUUCUGAUACUAGAUUGUUUUGAUAAGACUUUAUCAAAAUCAUACACCUUCCCUUAGAUAGCACACUUGUGAGUCUAAACAAUUAUGAAGAGGUAUGCCGUAAUCAUAAUGGUUAGACCUUUUUGCCACUUCUCACAAGUCCAUGUUAGUGUGCCGGUUAACCACACGCGCUCCACUAACGACUUUGAGAAUGCAAAUAUCACAAUUGCUAUCUAGCUAAAAUCUACUUAGUGAAAGUGUUUCCUCACCAUCAUUUUCAUGAAUCGGAGAGAAACCUUAUGACACUUAGAUUUAAUGGUGUAUGUGUUCUUAUCCAUGUGAAUUGUCAAAACCAUAGUCACAAGACAAGGAUAAUGACAAAUCCAAACUCAUAUGGAUUGAACUCAAUCUUAAUUUCUUGCCACCUGGCAGCUCAAGGGCCUGCCAUUGCUUCCAAGUUGUUGUGCAACAAAUUGAGAACUCUAAGAACUCAUAUGCAAAGCCAACUUUAACUGGAAUGGGCACCAAAUAUGUCAACACGAUAGGUUAUAAACCUCAAGUCGUGUGCUAGUGAAGAACUUCAGGUUUUAUUCUUGAUUAGUUCUUGAGACUUUCAAGACCUUUAAGACUCCCACUGUCCUCUUGACCUAUAAGACUCCCUUGUCAAAUAUCCAAGAGAUAGUGUGGAUUCUAAUCAAGACAAACACUUCACACAAUUGGCCUAAGUUGGUCUUUGUUUUAUCCAAAACAUCACAACUUACCAAUUUCAAAUGUACAAGAGUAGAAAACUUUUACUCUUACAUUUGACAAGUGUUUUAAACCUUCUUUAAGACAUGUCACUCAAGUUACAAUCUUGGAGUAUGACUCUAAGACUUGUAUUGGAACGAAGUAUGACUCAUCUUCUUGAUUUAACCAUUUCAACAAUUCAAGUUCCUCUUCUUAGUCAUAAGAAUACACUAAGAUUUCCUUAGAGAACUAACUUUGAUAUGGUUUCUUAAUCAUUAAGAUGAUCACAAAAACUGAUACUAAAGUACUCUCCCAUCUUUUCAAAUUUGAGAAACUUUUACCCCUCUACCUAAGUUGAUUCUUCUUAUUUGCUCUGCCAUACAUUGGAACCUUUUCCAAUGUCUAAGAGUUAUACUUUAGCCUGUAAGUAUAACCAUAUUUACUAAGCUUUAGUAAAUUAUGACGAAUAAUCUUAUCGAUCUUUUGUGGUGGACUUAAUAAGUGCACAAGAAUGUGUACUCGAUCCCUUAGUCCUUUACUUGACUCACACAUCCAUGUGAACAAGUAAUUAGUCUUAAUUUUCCAAAACUUGAAAGUUCUCAUUCAUCAUGCUAUACAACUUGCAUGAUUCCAAGUUCCGGUCCAAUUGAAACUUGGGUGAUGAGAAUCUUUCCUUAUUUGGUAAAUUUAGACAUUACCACAAAUGAAAGAAUCAAUUUCAUAUUUCCACUCUUGCUAUUAAUGGAAUCAUAUAAGCAACAAUUUUUCCUCAAAUGCCAUUGUAAGGAUAUUUUAAAAUAAAUAAAAUCAAAAAUUUUCUUUUAUUUUAAAACUUUGCGGAAAAACUUAUCCUUACAAUCCAUAUGAAAACUUGUUGUUAUCUAUUCCUAAGCAAUAUCUCAUAACUCCUAAGAAGUAGCUCAAGAAUCCGAUCUUCAAACUAUGCGAUAGAAAUCCAUCUACGCGAUCAGAUUCAGCAUAUUCUUUCUUUAAGUUUCUUCACUUUUCUUUGAUUCUUAAAACAUCAACAUGUGACCCAGUCACAUCAUGUAUCAAGAAUCUCAUAUUAGAAACUUAGCAGAGUUAGAUAGUGGACUUUACCUGAAGUAGAGUCAAACUUAUUGACUUCAACAUCCUUAGGUAAAUUUGGCAGAUUCGUAACCAAUGUCCCUUCCUUUGGCAAUAUAAACAUAUGGACCCUUUGAUAAUGGUACACGGGACUAUCACAGACUUAGCUUUUCUCUUUACCAUUUGGUCAACCGAGUUGACUAUGGCCGAUCCCUUUCCAUUGGGAAGAGAAUGCUUUUCUGGAUUUCCUGUGUCACUAUUGUCAAUGUCCAUCAAGUUUUAAGGAAGUUGAUCUUAACAAAUAGAUAAGAUCAUUAAGGGUCUUGUCAUAGUCUGUUUCAUAGGUGUCCCAAAGGAACUCACUAUGUGACUUAGAAAGUGAUUGAACCACCAACUUUCUCAAGACUUUGACACCCAACUCUCCCGGCUUGUCAAUAUGUGACUACAUCUCCAAGAUGUGAUCACACCUAGACCUUGCCUUGCCAAUAGGGCUUGAGUGACCUU